UAUAUUUCAUGCAGCUACUUAUUUUGAGGGAUUUGGAUUAGUUUCAUAGUACUUUUAACAGUUAGAGGACCUAGAGCAGAGCUUUCCAAACUGUGUGUCAUGACAUACUGGUGUGUCAACUAUUGCCCCCCAGUGUGUUGCAUAAAAAAUGCUCCAUCCUACCCCCACAAGACAAGAGGCAUGUUGGUUGCCCUGGAAGCACAAGCAUGAGCAACUGCGGCAGUAGUAGCAGCUCCAGUCCUAACCCCCUUCAGUCAUGCAGGAAGGCAGUCCAAGCCCUCACAACAGAUAACCAUCCAGUCUCAUUUCUAAACCUCCAGAGAUGAAUACACUUUACAAGAGUCAAUGAGACCUCCAAGUUCAAACAUCUUCAGCUAGACAGGAAGACACAGUCAAAGCACCCCUGGAUGACUAUCCGGUCUCUGUUUGAAAACCUCAGGAGAUGUUUAAUCACUACAGUUUUCAAUUAAGAAAAAAUUUGAUCACAAUGAUGUUUGUGAUUAACCACAUGGAAUGGCUAUAGAAGAGAUUAUAUAUAUAAUCUUAUAAGGGAUUGGUUUAACCCCCAGCUUGUUAGUAAAACUGAAUUACAAUGUCAUGAAAAGAUGCACAUCUAAAAAUUGUGUCACCAACAUGAAAAGUUUGGAAAGCUCUGAUCUAUCAUAUGUAACAGAGUCACUGGUGGACAAAAAAGCUCAUGUAGAUGGAUCCUUGUGUUGGUUGCUUAUAAUAAUUUCAAAAAACAGUAUGUAUAUAUGAAAUGUGCAUACAAACAAUUGACUCUGUAAUCAGAGAAAAACAAAAAGGGGAGCAAGAAAUAAAGACUCUUGGUUGGUGCAAGAAAAAAUCCAAAUGGUGCUCCUCCCAUGUUAAAAACAAUUAAUGACAACUUGCUAUUUGAAAGCGAUCAGAAGCACCCUGAACUUAGAUUGGAAACAUAUUGGCCAUGUGUGCAGUCCCUUUAAAGCUCAUGUUAUAUCACAUGAUUCAUAUCAUGUAGUGUAGCUACUGUAUAUUUUGGGUUGUGGAGGCAUUAGAAUCUGCAGCCAGAGAUUUCUUCUUUGGUGCUUCUACCCAUACUUCAAAUACCAAGAUUUCCAUUGCAGUAAAAGGGGAAUUAUGCUUUUCCUGCACAAUCUGGACUAGAUAGCCCCUGUGGUGUAUUCCAACUCUAUUAUUCUAUGAUUCAAUGGUCUAUAGUGUUCAAACUGUGUAGUAUGAAAGGGCCCCAGGUGAGAACAUGUAAUGCUAGCAACCAAGUCAUGAAAAAUUUAUCUCAAAGGCCCAAAUAUAAGGAACAGGGGCAGACUAAUUUGCUGUCUAUAUAUUUGCCCUAAAAGUAAAAGGGUAUAUGUGGGCAUGCGUGUGUGAAUAUGUGUGUGUGUUAAUAUGCAUGUGUGAAUGUGUAUGUGUGUUAACAUGUGAUGAGGACAUUAUACACAGGUAGAUAAUGGUAAUCACAUAAGCAAGUGCACUUGAAUAUUUCCCUACUUUCAACAGUUUUCCAUCUCAGUAUCAACGUUACAUUUUUAUAGUUAAUGAGUGGAGCUGUCAGUCUCUUACAUUCAGUUGCUUCAGGCUCUUCUGCCCAGACAGAGUUCAGGAAGUUUGUGGGUUGAAGAAGAGAAUUCAUUAGAUUAACUUGUGUUGGAUUUACAAUGAAAAUAUAUCUAUAAUGGGACAUUCAAACAUCAUGCCAAUAUAAUUCAGUUGGAGAAGACAAUUACAAAUUACAAAGAAGCAAAUAGAUUGAUUUUUGGAGAAAAAUUACUUUCUUCAGUUCUUAAUGAUGUUUUAAAUUUUGAGAUAUGAACUACAUUUCUGAAAUUGCCUCAGUCAUGCAAAGGAAUUGCAAAUUAGAAUUCAUGGAUUUUAAUUAAGAAAAACGAUACAUUUCUUCAGAUCAAAUAGAUAGAGACUCGUUUAAAUCACUGCAUCAAUACAUAAUUAAUUAAAAUGUAGUUUCUUGUUGUAUUUCUUGAAUAAUGAUGUGAAUCUGAGCAGUGAAUGAUACUCAUUUUCAAUGGAGCAUGUCCAGAUAUAAGGGAUGGAGAGAGAGCAGGACAAUUAUGAUACUGUUGCCAUUGAGAUAGCAAACUGAUUUCUGGGCAAUCCCAGUUCUGUAUUGGUGAGGAGGAGAGAACAGACCCUUCUCCUUUCCUGUUUAAGACCAGCUGAUGUUGUGUGUCCAAGGAAGGAGCCAACCACAGAGAAUUGCAUCAAUGUGAUGCAGGAUCUUCACCAAUAAUCGUGUUCAUAGAUUUUUAAAAUUUGAUAACAUUUUGAUAGUAGGAUCACAUGAUGCUAUUCACCAGUCAUUCGUCAUUACUGGACAUGAAAGAUUAGCCCUAAUGAUUAUCAAGCAUAUAACUCUGUUCAGCAUUUAUUCUUUGCUUGGUGACAAACAC